UACAGAGGUCUCGAGCGUUGUUCGGAUUCAUUGGGCGUAAAGGGUGUGUAGGUGGCGCCGUAAGUCGGGUGUGAAAUUUCGGAGCUUAACUCCGAAACUGCAUUCGAUACUGCGGUGCUUGAGGACUGGAGAGGAGACUGGAAUUCAUGGUGUAGCAGUGAAAUGCGUAGAGAUCAUGAGGAAGACCAGUGGCGAAGGCGGGUCUCUGGACAGUUCCUGACGCUCAGGCACGAAAGCGUGGGGAGCAAACAGG
rnacentral:rRNA from 1 species